AUUGAACGCUGGCGGCAUGCCUAACACAUGCAAGUCGAGCGGAUGAAGGGGGCUUGCUCCUGGAUUCAGCGGCGGACGGGUGGGUAAUGCCUAGGAAUCUGCCUUGUCUUGGGGGAUGAGGUCCGGAAACGGGCGCUAAUAUAGCAUACGACCAGAGGUAGAAACUGGGGAUCUUCGGACCUCACGCGAUCAUAUGAGCCCAGAUCGGAUUAGCUAGUUGGUGGGGUAAAGGCCUACCAAGGCGACGAUCCGUAACUGGUCUGAGAGGAUGAUCAGUCACACUGGAACUGAGACACGGUCCAGACUCCUACGGGAGGCAGCAGUGGGGAAUCUUGGGCAAUGGGCGAAAGCCUGAUGCAGCAAUGCCGCGUGUGUGAAGAAGGUCUUCGGAUGGUAAAGCACUUUAAGUUGGGAGGAAGGACAGUAAGUUAAUACCUUGCUGUUUUGACGGUACCAACAGAAUAAGCACCGGCUAACUUCGUG
rnacentral:rRNA from 1 species